GACGAACGCUGGCGGCGUGCUUAACACAUGCAAGUCGAACGGAAAGGCCUCUUUCGGGGGGUACUCGAGUGGCGAACGGGUGAGUAACACGUGAGUAACCUGCCCUUGACUUUGGGAUAACUUCAGGAAACUGGGGCUAAUACCGGAUAGGAGCUCCUGCUGCCUGGUGGGGGUUGGAAAGUUUCGGCGGUUGGGGAUGGACUCGCGGCUUAUCAGCUUGUUGGUGGGGUAGUGGCUUACCAAGGCUUUGACGGGUAGCCGGACUGAGAGGGUGACCGGCCACAUUGGGACUGAGAGACGGCCCAGACUCCGACGGGAGGCAGCAGUGGGGAAGAUUGCACAAUGGGUGGAAGCCUGAUGCAGCAACGCCGUGUGCGGGAUGACGGCCUUCGGGUUGUAAACCGCUUUCGCUCAUGACGAAGCUUUGUGUGACGGUAGUGGGUAAAGAAGCACCGGCUAACUACGUG
rnacentral:rRNA from 1 species